rnacentral:rRNA from 11 species
GACUCUCGGCAACGGAUAUCUCGGCUCACGCAUUCGAUGAAGAACGUAGAAAAUGCGGAUUACUGGUGUGAAUUGCAGAAUCCCGUGAACCAUCGAGAUUUCUGUGAACGCAAAGUUGCGCCCGAAGCCAUUCGGUUGAGGGCACGUCUGCCUGGGCGUCA